CCUAGAGUUGUAGGCUUUGCCUGCUAUCUCUUACCCAUGUCUUUUGAGUACCUUACGUUUCCUCGGUGGGUCCGCCCGCCGAUUGGACAAUUUAAACCCUUUGCAGUUGAAAUCAGCGUCUGAAAAAACUUAAUAGUUA
rnacentral:misc_RNA from 1 species